rnacentral:rRNA from 1 species
CCUACGGGAGGCAGCAGUGGGGAAUAUUGCACAAUGGGGGAAACCCUGAUGCAGCGACGCCGCGUGAGCGAUGAAGUAUUUCGGUAUGUAAAGCUCUAUCAGCAGGGAAGAAAAUGACGGUACCUGACUAAGAAGCCCCGGCUAACUACGUGCCAGCAGCCGCGGUAAUACGUAGGGGGCAAGCGUUAUCCGGAUUUACUGGGUGUAAAGGGAGCGUAGACGGUCUUGCAAGGCAGAUGUGAAAGCCCGGGGCUCAACCCCGGGACUGCCUUUGGAACUGUAAGGCUGGAGUGUCGGAGAGGCAGGCGGAAUUCCUGGUGUAGCGGUGAAAUGCGUAGAUAUUAGGAGGAACACCGGUGGCGAAGGCGGCCUGCUGGACUGCAACUGACGUUGAGGCCCGAAAGCGUGGGGAGCAAACAGGAUUAGAUACCCUAGUAGUC